rnacentral:rRNA from 1 species
AGCAGCCGCGGUAAUUCCAGCUCCAAUAGCGUAUAUUAAAGUUGUUGCAGUUAAAAAGCUCGUAGUUGAAUUUCGGGGUCAGUAGGUCGGUCGUGCCACCGGUAUGCACUGGCUUCACUGAUUCCUCCCUCUUGUAGAACCGUGAUGCCAUUAAUUUGGUGUUGCGGGGAAACAGGACUGUUACUUUGAAAAAAUUAGAGUGUUUAAAGCAAGCUAACGCUUGAAUACAUUAGCAUGGAAUAAUGAAAUAGGACGUCGAUCUUAUUUUGUUGGUUUCUAGGGUUGACGUAAUGAUUAAUAGGGAUAGUUGGGGGCAUUAGUAUUCAAUUGUCAGAGGUGAAAUUCUUGGAUUUAUUGAAGACUAACUACUGCGAAAGCAUUUGCCAAGGAUGUUUUCAUUAAUCAAGAACGAAAGUUAGGGGAUCGAAGACGAUCAGAUACCGUCGUAGUCUUAACCAUAAACUAUGCCGACUAGGGAUCGGAUGAUGUUAAUUUUUUAAUGACUCAUUCGGCGCCUUACG